CUAAUACUCCCUCCUCCGGAAAUACUUGUCCUAGAAAUGGAUAACAUGAAUGUAUCUAUAACUAAAAUAAGUCUAGAUACAACCAUUUCUAGGACAAGUAUUUCCGGACGGAGGGAGUAAGUA
rfam:Triticum aestivum genome assembly, contig: Triticum_aestivum_CS42_TGACv1_scaffold_642196_T_7DL-0.247497_5DL-0.213006